rnacentral:tRNA from 1 species
GCCCUCGUAGUUUAAUGGACAAAAUGCAAGCUUGCGGAGCUUGAGACUGUAGGUUCGAUUCCUACCGAGGGCGCUA